GACGAACGCUGGCGGCGUGCCUAAUACAUGCAAGUUGAGCGCUGAAGGUUGGUACUUGUACCAACUGGAUGAGCAGCGAACGGGUGAGUAACGCGUGGGGAAUCUGCCUUUGAGCGGGGGACAACAUUUGGAAACGAAUGCUAAUACCGCAUAAAAACUUUAAACACAAGUUUUAAGUUUGAAAGAUGCAAUUGCAUCACUCAAAGAUGAUCCCGCGUUGUAUUAGCUAGUCGGUGAGGUAAAGGCUCACCAAGGCGAUGAUACAUAGCCGACCUGAGAGGGUGAUCGGCCACAUUGGGACUGAGACACGGCCCAAACUCCUACGGGAGGCAGCAGUAGGGAAUCUUCGGCAAUGGACGAAAGUCUGACCGAGCAACGCCGCGUGAGUGAAGAAGGUUUUCGGAUCGUAAAACUCUGUUGGUAGAGAAGAACGUUGGUGAGAGUGGAAAGCUCAUCAAGUGACGGUAACUACCCAGAGAGGGACGGCUAACUACGUG
rnacentral:rRNA from 1 species